rnacentral:rRNA from 1 species
GACGAACGCUGGCGGCGUGCUUAACACAUGCAAGUCGAACGAUGAGGCCGGAGCUUGCUCUGGUGGAUUAGUGGCGAACGGGUGAGUAACACGUGAGCAAUCUGCCCCGAACUCUGGGAUAAGCGUUGGAAACGACGUCUAAUACCGGAUACGACGCGCGAAGGCAUCUUCUGCGCGUGGAAAGAAUUUCGGUUCGGGAUGAGCUCGCGGCCUAUCAGCUAGUUGGUGAGGUAACGGCUCACCAAGGCGACGACGGGUAGCCGGCCUGAGAGGGUGACCGGCCACACUGGGACUGAGACACGGCCCAGACUCCUACGGGAGGCAGCAGUGGGGAAUAUUGCACAAUGGGCGCAAGCCUGAUGCAGCAACGCCGCGUGGGGGACGACGGCCUUCGGGUUGUAAACCUCUUUUAGCAGGGAAGAAGCGCAAGUGACGGUACCUGCAGAAAAAGCACCGGCUAACUACGUGCCAGCCGCCGCAGUAAGAC